rnacentral:rRNA from 1 species
AUUGAACGCUGGCGGCAGGCCUAACACAUGCAAGUCGAACGAGUGGCGGACGGGUGAGUAAUGUCUGGGAAACUGCCUGAUGGAGGGGGAUAACUACUGGAAACGGUAGCUACUACCGCAUACCAUCGGAUGUGCCCAGAAGGGAUUAGCUAGUAGGUGGGGUAACGGCUCACCUAGGCAACGAUCCCUAGCUGGUCUGAGAGGGUGACCAGCCACACUGGAACGGAGACACGGUCCAGACUCCUCCGGGAGGCAUCAGUGGGGAAUAUUUCACAAUGGGCGCAAGCCUGAUGCAGCCAUGCCGCGUGUAUGAAGAAGGCCUUCGGGUUGUAAAGUACUUUCAGCGGGGAGGCGUUACCCGCAGAAGAAGCACCGGCUAACUCCGUGCCAGCAGCCGCGGUAAUUC